UACGGGGGGGGGCAAGCGUUGUUCGGAAUUACUGGGCGUAAAGCGCGCGUAGGCGGAUCUGCAAGUCGGGGGUGAAAUCCCGAGGCUCAACCUCGGAACUGCCUUCGAUACUGCGGGUCUCGAGUCCGGGAGAGGUGAGUGGAAUUCCUAGUGUAGAGGUGAAAUUCGUAGAUAUUAGGAAGAACACCAGUGGCGAAGGCGGCUCACUGGCCCGGUACUGACGCUGAGGCGCGAAAGCGUGGGGAGCAAACAGG
rnacentral:rRNA from 1 species